GUCCUCUGGUGAUAAAGACGACAUAGCUUUUUGAGCUUUUGCUGCAUCUUCCGGAGAAAGUUCCAAUCCAAAUUGUUCACUCAUGUUGGCCAUCAUCUCUGGGCUCAUAUUCUUCAUCAUUGAUGUGAACACCUGUCGCAUAGCUGGAUCUUUCAUCUGGUUUCUCACUUGUUCUUGCAUAUCAGCAGUUGAGCUAGGAAAGCUUAGCGGAGAAGCAUUUCUUGAGCUUGAAAAUAAACCAUUUGAGGAACUAGUUUCACUUAUGUCAUUCCUAUCAACUACAAAAUUUCCUUCUUGUCCUGUCUGUUUUGACCCAGUGUCUGAAUUUAGUCUAUUAGUACUUAAAGCUGCUGCUUUUGGAACCGAGUCAUUUCCUCUCAUAGAGGAUGCCAUUUGAAACAUUUUCUGAAGCUCUUCAGGGGGCAUCUUACUCAUCAAAUCAGUUGCUGUUUUAAGCAUGUCUGGCG
rnacentral:misc_RNA from 1 species